AAACCAUGAUGCAGGCACUAUCUCAAGAGAUCCUUAAACCUCUCAUAAGCCUCAAACAGUGUUUUUGAGUCACCUUGUCUGAACAAAGAUAUUUUCUGUCUCAAUUU